UACGUAGGGGGCAAGCGUUGUCCGGAUUUACUGGGCGUAAAGAGCGUGUAGGCGACCACGCAGGUCCGUUGUGAAAGCUGGAGGCUCAACUUCCAGCCGUCGACGGAAACCGUGUGGCUAGAGUCCGGAAGAGGAGAGUGGAAUUCCUGGUGUAGCGGUGAAAUGCGCAGAUAUCAGGAAGAACACCAAUGGCGAAGGCAGCUCUCUGGGACGGUACUGACGCUGAGACGCGAAAGCGUGGGGAGCGAACAGG
rnacentral:rRNA from 1 species